rnacentral:rRNA from 1 species
AUUGAACGCUGGCGGCAGGCCUAACACAUGCAAGGCGAACGGUAACAGAAAGCAGCUUGCUGCUUUGCUGACGAGUGGCGGACGGGUGAGGAAUGUCUGGGAAACUGCCUGAUGGAGGGGGAUAACUACUGGAAACGGUAGCUAAUACCGCAUAACGUCGCAAGACCAAAGAGGGGGACCUUCGGGCCUCUUGCCAUCAACUGUGCCCAGAUGGGAUUAGCUAGUAGGUCGGGUAAAGGCUCACCCAGGCGACGAUCCCUAGCUGGUCUCAGAGGAUGCCCAGCCCCACUGGAACUGCGACACGGCCCAGACUCCUACGGGAGGCAGCAGUGGGGAAUAUUGCACACUGGGCGCAAGCCUGCUGCAGCCAUGCCGCGUGUAUGAAGAAGGCCUUCGGGUUGUAAAGUACUUUCAGCGGGGAGGAAGGGAGUAAAGUUAAUACCUUUGCUCAUUGACGUUACCCGCAGAAGAAGCCCCGGCUAACUCCGUG